GACGAACGCUGGCGGCGUGCCUAAUACAUGCAAGUCGAACGAGAGCGCCCGGUGCUUGCACUGGUCAAUCUAGUGGCGAACGGGUGAGUAACACGUGGGUAACCUGCCCAUCAGAGGGGGAUAACAUCCGGAAACGGAUGCUAAAACCGCAUAGGUCUUCGAACCGCAUGGUUUGAAGAGGAAAAGAGGCGCAAGCUUCUGCUGAUGGAUGGACCCGCGGUGCAUUAGCUAGUUGGUGAGGUAACGGCUCACCAAGGCCGUGAUGCAUAGCCGACCUGAGAGGGUGAUCGGCCACAUUGGGACUGAGACACGGCCCAAACUCCUACGGGAGGCAGCAGUAGGGAAUCUUCCGCAAAGGACGCAAGUCUGACGGAGCAACGCCGCGUGAGUGAAGAAGGUUUUCGGAUCGUAAAACUCUGUUGUUAGAGAAGAACAAGUGCUAGAGUAACUGUUAGCGCCUUGACGGUAUCUAACCAGAAAGCCACGGCUAACUACGUG
rnacentral:rRNA from 1 species